UACGGGGGGGGCAAGCGUUGUUCGGAAUUACUGGGCGUAAAGGGCGCGUAGGCGGUUGGAUAAGUCAGCUGUGAAAACCACGAGCUUAACUCGUGGCCUGCAGUCGAUACGGGCAGGCUAGAGUUCGGUAGGGGAGACUGGAAUUCCUGGUGUAGCGGUGAAAUGCGCAGAUAUCAGGAGGAACACCGGUGGCGAAGGCGGGUCUCUGGGCCGAUACUGACGCUGAGGAGCGAAAGCGUGGGGAGCGAACAGG
rnacentral:rRNA from 1 species